rnacentral:misc_RNA from 1 species
UUUUCGUAGGUGAACCUGAGGAAGGAUCAUUACGUAUUGUUAGGCCGGUCUGAAAGGUUCUAUUUAACCCUGUAUCUUGCGUACCCUUUGUUUCCUUGGCAGGCUUGCGUGCCGGUUAGACAUUUCGACUCCAGUAUGAGCAAUCAGCGUCAAAAUAAUAAAUUACAAUCGUAACAACUUUCAACAUCGAAUCACUUGGUUCUGGCAUCGAUUAAGAAC